rnacentral:ncRNA from 1 species
UGUAGUAAUCCUGCUUAGUACGAGAGGAACCGCAGGUUCAGACAUUUGGUGUAUGUGCUUGGUUGAGGAGCCAAUGGUGCGAAGCUACCUUCUGUGGGAUUAUGACUGAACGCCUCUAAGUCAGAAUCCCCCCUAAACGUAACGAUACCGUAGUGCAGCAGAUCUUCGGUUGGCCCGGGAUAGCCUGCCUCUUUUGGCAGGUGAGUAGAGCAGUUCGUGACGGGGUUUGUGGUGCAGCCAGAUGAGUUGCCACCCCUCUCCUGAUGCGCACCGCAUGUUUGUGGGGAACCCGGUGCUAAAUCACUUAUAGACGAACUGAUUCUGAGUCAAGGUUUCGUACGUAGCAGAGCAGCUCACUCACUGCGAUCUAUUGAAAGUCAGCCCUCGAUCCAAGCUUU